GUGGGGAAUAUUGCACAAUGGGGGAAACCCUGAUGCAGCAACGCCACGUGUGGGAAGAAGCAUUUCGGUGUGUAAACCACUGUCAUGAGGGAAUAAGGCCCGCCUUCGGACGGGAUUGAAUGUACCUUGAGAGGAAGCACCGGCAAACUUCGUGCCAGCAGCCGCGGUAAUACGAGGGGUGCAAGCGUUGUUCGGAAUUACUGGGCGUAAAGGGAGCGUAGGCGGAGAUUCAAGCGGAUUGUACAAUCCCGGGGCCCAACCCCGGCUCUGCAGUCCGAACUGGAUCUCUUGGAUAGUUCAGGGGCAGGCGGAAUUCCUGGUGUAGCGGUGGAAUGCGUAGAGAUCAGGAAGAACACCGAUGGCGAAGGCAGCCUGCUGGGGACUCAUCGACGCUGAGGCUCGAAAGUGCGGGUAGCAAACAGG
rnacentral:rRNA from 1 species